rnacentral:tRNA from 1 species
AAAAAGAUAAGCUAAAUAAGCUAAUGGGUUCAUACCCCAUUUAUAAAGGUUCUAAUCCUUUUCUUUUUA